rnacentral:rRNA from 1 species
UACGUAGGGCGCAAGCGUUGUCCGGAAUUAUUGGGCGUAAAGAGCUCGUAGGCGGCUUGUCACGUCGAUUGUGAAAGCCCGAGGCUUAACUUCGGGUCUGCAGUCGAUACGGGCAGGCUAGAGUUCGGUAGGGGAGAUUGGAAUUCCUGGUGUAGCGGUGAAAUGCGCAGAUAUCAGGAGGAACACCGGUGGCGAAGGCGGAUCUCUGGGCCGAUACUGACGCUGAGGAGCGAAAGCGUGGGGAGCGAACAGG